UCUCCGUUGGUGAACCAGCGGAGGGAUCAUUACCGAGUUUACAACUCCCAAACCCCUGUGAACUUAUACCGUCACGUUGCUUCGGCGGGAAUCGCCCCGGCUGCCCUCGCGGCGGACCGGAUCCCAGUGCGCCCGCCGGAGGACCUUUAAACUCUUCUGUCUCUCAUAGCGGCAUGUCUGAGUGGAUUUUAUACAAAUGAAUCAAAACUUUCAACAACGGAUCUCUUGGUUCUG
rnacentral:misc_RNA from 1 species